GCACCUGGGAAGGUGACAGCACUAGUGGGGCCUAAUGGAGCUGGGAAGAGCUCAGUGGCUGCGUUACUGCAGAAUCUGUAUCAGCCUUCCCGGGGCCAGGUGCUGCUGGAUGGGGAGCCGCUGCCCCAGUAUCAGCACCGGUACCUGCAUUCACAGGUGGCUGCAGUAUCACAAGAGCCACAGAUGUUUGGGCAGAGUCUGUAUGAAAAUAUAGCUUAUGGGUUGGAUAGGGAGCCAGAGCUAGAGGAGGUCAUGGAAGCUACCAGGGAGGCUGGAGCUCACAGUUUCAUCUCUCAGUUGCCCCAGGGCUAUCACACAGGUACUGGGAACACUCACUCACUGAAUAGACCUCUCACUUCACUAGCAAUGCAUUUCAUCUGUGACUCAGCCCUGCAACAGAAACAGGCAAAAAAACGAAUGAACCAGUGAAAAAUCAUUUAAUGAAUACUAGAGGAAGAGAACAAGGAGAAGAGAAUAAUGAUUCUUUUAGUGCCCUCUAUAUGCCAGGAAUUUACAAAUGUUCUUUUAUUUGAUCUUCACAAUAAUCUUGGAAGACAGAUACUAUUAUCAUCUUCAUAUUGCUCUUGAGGAAACUGAAGGUCGCACGGUCACAUGGCUAAGUGUCUGAGGCCUUAUUUGAACUCGGAUCCUUCUGCCUCCAUACCCAGCCUCUACCCACUCUGCUCCCCAGCUGCCUCAAAAAUGUAAAUGUUCAUAUUUAAUCUCAGCUGCGCAACACUGGACAAGUCACGCCUCUGUUUGCCUCGGUUUCUCCAUCUGUAAAGUAGGGAUAAUAACCAUAUCUACCUUCAGGUUGCUUGGAGACCAAAGGAAAUAGUAAUUAUAAAGGGCUCAGCAUAGUGUCUGGCACCUAGGAAGUGCCAUGUAAAUGUUGGCUAUUAUUAUUAAGUGCUAACAAUGUGCCAAGUGUUGCUGUAAAUUCUAGGCACCCGAAUUCCAAUAUAAGUCCCUGGGGGGGGGGGGGGGGGGAGUGUGGAGGAUGAGCAGUGGCCGAGGAAAUGAUUUCCCAUCUGUAGAAUCACCAGGGUGAGGAGCAAUCCAUGGAGUAGUUUAAUGACCCUUUUCAAAAGUAUUGGGAUUAUUGAUAGGGUGACUGUGCCCAAAGCAAGAGGUGGAGAUCGCAGGCAAGUGCACACCUGCAGAGGGAGGGCCCAGGGCAAGAUGUCCUCAUGGAUGACUAGAAGGGAUAUGGAACAUGGUUUGGGGCUGACUAGACAUAGAGCUAGGUGAGUUUGCUCCCACUCCUUCAGACUCCUGUUUUUCAGGGCAGGACUUCCAAGGAUGGGGGGAGUAAGACCUUUGAUCUCCAUGAACUCUCCCAGAAAACCAUCUCACUCCUGUGUAAGGGACUGGUCUCAGCUCCCUCCGUCCCGUUUAGUCCAUGGAAAUAGCAUGUUUUUGGUGGCUGUGAUGGUUCUGCUCUCCAUGCAUCUGUUCUCUCUCCAGAGACUGGGGAGUCUGGGAGCCGGCUGUCAGGGGGUCAGCGGCAGGCUGUGGCCCUGGCUCGGGCUCUGAUCCGGAACCCCGGGUCCUGAUCUUAGAUGCCACCAGUGCCCUGGACACAGACAACCAGUUAUGGGUGGAGCAUCUCCUGUACGAGGCCCCCAGGAAGCUCCCUCAGGCCGUGCUCCUCAUCACCCAGCGCCUCAGCUCUGUGCAAAGGGCUGACCAGAUUCUCUUCCUGGAAGAGGGGGUCAUUCAGGAUAGCGGCACCCAUAGACAGCUCAGGGAGCAACGGGGCUGAUAUUGGACCAUGGUGGAGGGCACGGGGGGAUGUUUAGCUCCUCAGGAAGGAGGGACAUACUUGAAUGGCCAUUGUGAGAAAGCUACAGCUCUUCUCUCACCUAUGAAAGUGUUGUCCCUGAGGAAGAAUGUCAGCCUCUUUGUGACCCAUGAUGGGAUCUAGCAGUUCCACAGAAUUUUUCCAUACCACAUUCAUC